rnacentral:rRNA from 1 species
UACGUAGGGGGCGAGCGUUGUCCGGAUUUAUUGGGCGUAAAGGGCGUGUAGGCGGCCUGUUAAGUCGGGAGUGAAACCCCGGGGCUCAACCCCGGGCCUGCUUCCGAAACUGAUGGGCUUGAGUGCUCUAGAGGGCAGUGGAAUUCCCGGUGUAGCAGUGAAAUGCGUAGAGAUCGGGAGGAACACCAGUGGCGAAGGCGACUGCCUGGGGAGUAACUGACGCUGAGGCGCGAAAGCUAGGGGAGCAAACAGG